rnacentral:rRNA from 1 species
UACGUAGGGUGCAAGCGUUGUCCGGAAUUAUUGGGCGUAAAGAGCUCGUAGGUGGCCUGUCGCGUCGGCUGUGAAAACUCGGGGCUCAACUCCGAGCUUGCAGUCGAUACGGGCAGGCUAGAGUUCGGCAGGGGAGACUGGAAUUCCUGGUGUAGCGGUGAAAUGCGCAGAUAUCAGGAGGAACACCGGUGGCGAAGGCGGGUCUCUGGGCAGUAACUGACGCUGAGGAGCGAAAGCGUGGGAAGCGAACAGG